GAAAGAAAGAAAGGAUUUACUAGAGGAAUUUGAAGAGUUGAAGCCAAGAGAGAAUAGUGUUGGUUUCAAUAAAGAAAGAUUAGUGGUGUAAAUAAGGUGAAUGUUACACUGUUCAUCUGUUCAUUGUAUUAGAAAGUAGGUCAGAUACUGCAGCAAUACUAGGUUUAUUGCAAUGAUGGCCUACGAAGCCACAUUAUAACAAGCUGAAAUGUGAAAGGGCAAUGAGAAAGCCAGGAAGUUGGCUCUGAAGAAAAACAAAAUAACUGGACAACAGCUAGAGGGCUACCUAAGGUCAAGGG
rnacentral:lncRNA from 10 species